AGCAGCCGCGGUAAUUCCAGCUCCAAUAGCGUAUAUUAAAGUUGCUGCAGUUAAAAAGCUCGUAGUUGAAUUUCGGGACCAUCAUGUCGGUCGUGCCUCGGUACGUACUGGCAUUGUUGGUUUCUCCCUUCUGACGAACCAUGAUGUCAUUUAUUUGGUGUCGUGGGAAAUCAGGACUGUUACUUUGAAAAAAUUAGAGUGUUUAAAGCAGGCUCACGCUUGAAUACAUUAGCAUGGAAUAAUGAAAUAGGACGUUUGAUUCUAUUUUGUUGGUUUCUAGGAUCGACGUAAUGAUUAAUAGGGAUAGUUGGGGGCAUUAGUAUUCAAUUGUCAGAGGUGAAAUUCUUGGAUUUAUUGAAGACUAACUACUGCGGAAGCAUUUGCCAAGGAUGUUUUCAUUAAUCAAGAACGAAAGUUAGGGGAUCGAAGACGAUCAGAUACCGUCGUAGUCUUAACCAUAAACUAUGCC
rnacentral:misc_RNA from 1 species